UUAUACGCGUACUCCGCUUGGAAUAAACGACCAUCCGGGGAGAAGAAUAAUCCUAAAUCGUAUCCAGUACCAAUUGAACUCUGUUUGUUAAUGUGAUGUGCUACUCCUUGCUAACUUACCAUUUGCUUAUGUUGGUGGUAGUUGGCAUGCGUAGACUGAUGACUAGUCAGCAAGGAGCGUAGAACAGUCACACUCGUUAUAUAUGUGCUUCCAAGAAAACUCAAGAAUUUACCAUUAGCAAACACUUUUUUGAAAUGUUAGACAUUUAAAUGACGAAGGCAUAUAGAAGCUUUGAAUAGGUGUUGUAAAGUGUUGAUUUAUGUGACGCUGAGGGUGCGCAUGAAAGGAAUGUUGGGUCACGAUUAUUAAACAGUUUGCUAGCUUGGACACUUGAGUAUUGGAAGUUGUUGAAUUCUAAAAAACUUUCAGUUGAUUUGAAUAGUUGCUGUUGCCAAAAAACAUAACCUGUACCGAAGAACCAUGCUGGACGUACGGGCGAACGCCGCACUUCCUCAAAUUCAAACGCGUUGAAAAGCGCACAGCUCGUUGAGGGGGUAAGGUCGGAGAAACAUCUUCGUUGCGUGCUCGUGAGGAGCGAAGAACGAACGUUCUGCCGAAUGUACCAGAAAUUCAAUCAGUAUGGCCUCGUUUGUCGUACCUGAUUUUGAAACGCAUUCGAGAAGAUUUAUUUUAGUGCAAUGUGUGGCACCUGUUUGUCAGGUAACUCGAUUCCGACUAAUCUUGUCUGUAUGUCUGGUGUGGUUCAUCUGUAUGGGUAUGUAUGCCAUCGUUAAUGGUUGGAUAGUCAGAGUAAAUAGUUGAGUUGCAGGUAAAUCAAGUCCUGCAAAUGCCAGUAUAUUGUUUUGCUAAUGUGCUGGUUGGUUAUGAAAAUU